GACGAACGCUGGCGGCGUGCUUAACACAUGCAAGUCGAACGGAAAGGCCCUGCUUUUGUGGGGUGCUCGAGUGGCGAACGGGUGAGUAACACGUGAGUAACCUGCCCUUGACUUUGGGAUAACUUCAGGAAACUGGGGCUAAUACCGGAUAGGAGCUCCUGCUGCAUGGUGGGGGUUGGAAAGUUUCGGCGGUUGGGGAUGGACUCGCGGCUUAUCAGCUUGUUGGUGAGGUAGUGGCUUACCAAGGCUUUGACGGGUAGCCGGCCUGAGAGGGUGACCGGCCACAUUGGGACUGAGAUACGGACCAGACUGCUACGGGAGGCAGCAGUGGGGAAUAUUGUACAAUGGGCGGAAGCCUGAUGCAGCAACGCCGCGUGCGGGAUGACGGCCUUCGGGUUGUAAACCGCUUUCGCCUGUGACGAAGCGUGAGUGACGGUAAUGGGUAAAGAAGCACCGGCUAACUACGUG
rnacentral:rRNA from 1 species